rnacentral:rRNA from 1 species
CGGAGUUUACGAUCCUGGACUCAGAACGAACGCUGGCGGCGUGGAUAAGACAUGCAAGUCGAACGAUUACUAUUGGGUAGCAAUAUUCGGUAGUGAGAGUGGCGCAAGGGUGCGUAACACGUGGGUAAUUUGCCGUAAAGUCUGGGACAACUUGCUGAAAGGCGAGCUAAUACCGGAUGUGAUUUCUGGAAGGCAUCUUCUAGAACUUAAAGUCGGGACCGUAAGGCCUGACACUUUUCGAUAAGCCCGCGGCCUAUCAGCUAGUUGGUGAGGUAACGGCUCACCAAGGCUAAGACGGGUAGCUGGUCUGAGAGGACGACCAGCCACACUGGAACUGAGACACGGUCCAGACACCUACGGGUGGCAGCAGUCGAGAAUUUUUCUCAAUGGGGGAAACCCUGAAGGAGCGACGCCGCGUGGGGGAUGAAUGGCUUCGGCCCGUAAACCCCUGUCAUUUGCGAUCAAACCUUACGGCCUAACACGUCGUAAACUGAUAGUAGCGGAAGAGGAAGGGACGGCUAACUCUGUG